rnacentral:rRNA from 1 species
GACGAACGCUGGCGGCGUGCUUAACACAUGCAAGUCGUACGGUAAGGCCCUUUCGGGGGUACACGAGUGGCGAACGGGUGAGUAACACGUGAGUAACCUGCCCACAACUUUGGGAUAACGCUAGGAAACUGGUGCUAAUACUGGAUAUGUGCCCCUGCUGCAUGGUGGGGGUUGGAAAGCUCCGGCGGUUGUGGAUGGACUCGCGGCCUAUCAGCUUGUUGGUGGGGUAGUGGCCUACCAAGGCGGCGACGGGUAGCCGGCCUGAGAGGGUGACCGGCCACAUUGGGACUGAGAUACGGCCCAGACUCCUGCGGGAGGCAGCAGUGGGGAAUAUUGCACAAUGGGCGCAAGCCUGAUGCAGCAACGCCGCGUGCGGGAUGACGGCCUUCGGGUUGUAAACCGCUUUCAGCAGGGACGAAGCUUUUUGUGACGGUACCUGCAGAAGAAGCACCGGCUAACUACGUG